rnacentral:rRNA from 1 species
UACGAAGGGGGCGAGCGUUGUUCGGAGUUACUGGGCGUAAAGGGCGCGUAGGCGGCGAUCCAAGUUAGGCGUGAAAGCCCCGGGCUUAACCUGGGAAUUGCGCUUAAGACUGGACUGCUUGAGUGCGGGAGAGGUGAGUGGAAUUCCCAGUGUAGAGGUGAAAUUCGUAGAUAUUCGCAAGAACACCAGUGGCGAAGGCGGCUCACUGGCCCGAUACUGACGCUGAGGCACGAAAGCGUGGGGAGCAAACAGG